rnacentral:rRNA from 1 species
AUUGAACGCUGGCGGCAGGCCUAACACAUGCAAGUCGAGCGGAUGAAGGGAGCUUGCUCCUGGAUUCAGCGGCGGACGGGUGAGUAAUGCCUAGGAAUCUGCCUGAGUGGGGGAUAACGUCCGGGAACGGGCGCUAAUACCGCAUACGUCCUGAGGGAGAAAGUGGGGGAUCUUCGGACCUCACGCUAUCAGAUGAGCCUAGGUCGGAUUAGCUAGUUGGUGGGGUAAAGGCCUACCAAGGCGACGAUCCGUAACUGGUCUGAGAGGAUGAUCAGUCACACUGGAACUGAGACACGGUCCAGACUCCUACGGGAGGCAGCAGUGGGGAAUAUUGGACAAUGGGCGAAAGCCUGAUCCAGCCAUGCCGCGUGUGUGAAGAAGGUCUUCGGAUUGUAAAGCACUUUAAGUUGGGAGGAAGGGCAGUAAGUUAAUACCUUGCUGUUUUGACGUUACCAACAGAAUAAGCACCGGCUAACUUCGUG